GUUUAAGUUGCGCACUUGCUGUAAAUAUGGACAAAGAACAAUUGGUGGGAUUUAUAUGGAUCUUCCUUGAGUUUCUGGAGGUUCAUAAAGGUCCACCAUACACUU